GUCUAUGGCCAUGUCACCCUGAACAAGUCCGAUGUCUGAUCUCGGAAGUUAAGCAGCGUCGAGUCUGGUUAGUACUUGGAUGAGAGAACACCUAGGAAGACCAGGUGAUGUAGGCA
rnacentral:rRNA from 1 species